GCGUCGGUCGUUCAGUGGUAGAAUACUCGCCUCCCACGCGGGUGGCCCGGGUUCGAUUCCCGGCCGACGCA
rnacentral:tRNA from 2 species